rnacentral:rRNA from 1 species
GACGAACGCGGGCGGCGUGCUAAUACAUGCAAGUGGGACGCAAGGAAACACACUGUGCUUGCACACCGUGUUUUCUUGAGUCGCGAACGGGUGAGUAACGCGUAGGUAACCUGCCUAUUAGCGGGGGAUAACUAUUGGAAACGAUAGCUAAUACCGCAUAAUAUUAAUUAUUGCAUGAUAAUUGAUUGAAAGAUGCAAGCGCAUCACUAGUAGAUGGACCUGCGUUGUAUAGCUAGUUGGUAAGGUAAGAGCUUACCAAGGCGACGAUACAUAGCCGACCUGAGAGGGUGAUCGGCCACACUGGGACUGAGACACGGCCCAGACUCCUACGGGAGGCAGCAGUAGGGAAUCUUCGGCAAUGGACGAAAGUCUGACCGAGCAACGCCGCGUGAGUGAAGAAGGUUUUCGGAUCGUAAAGCUCUGUUGUAAGUCAAGAACGUGUGUGAGAGUGGAAAGUUCACACAGUGACGGAGCUACCAAAAGGCGCAUC